GACGAACGCUGGCGGCGUGCUUAACACAUGCAAGUCGAACGAAGAGCGAUGGAAGCUUGCUUCUAUCAAUCUUAGUGGCGAACGGGUGAGUAACGCGUAAUCAACCUGCCCUUCAGAGGGGGACAACAGUUGGAAACGACUGCUAAUGUCGCAUACGAUCUGACCUCGGCAUCGAGGAUAGAUGAAAGGUGGCCUCUAUUUAUAAGCUAUCACUGAAGGAGGGGAUUGCGUCUGAUUAGCUAGUUGGAGGGGUAACGGCCCACCAAGGCGAUGAUCAGUAGCCGGUCUGAGAGGAUGAACGGCCACAUUGGGACUGAGACACGGCCCAGACUCCUACGGGAGGCAGCAGUGGGGAAUCUUCCGCAAUGGACGAAAGUCUGACGGAGCAACGCCGCGUGAGUGAUGACGGCCUUCGGGUUGUAAAGCUCUGUUAAUCGGGACGAAAGGCCUUCUUGCGAAUAGUUAGAAGGAUUGACGGUACCGGAAUAGAAAGCCACGGCUAACUACGUG
rnacentral:rRNA from 1 species